GAUAUUACUGAGGACAUCCAUAGUCCAUAAGUUAACCUGAAAAAAGCUUAACGCCCAAAACGCAUGCGCCUAGAAUCGGCAUAACGGCAACAAGGCAAGCCCACAUGGUUAACUUAUGAAUAUCACUGGAAACCUCAUACCUUCUGGUUAAACCAAACUUUACCUUUGAUAUCUUAAGUAAAAUAUAUCUUUAUAUUUCACAAAUGCACAUGAUAGUAAAGUAACGUUGAGUCAAGCCAUGAUUUAAUACAGGAAACCUAGCCGGCCAUUGAGGCGGCGAUCAUUGAAAAAUAAAAAUAAAAGACUGAAGAUGAAAGCAAGAGAACCUUAAAGAACAC
rnacentral:lncRNA from 1 species